rnacentral:lncRNA from 1 species
GGGCGGGAAGGCGGCGGCCGGAUGCGGGCCGGGCGGGAAGGCGGCGGUCGGAUGCGGGCCGGGCGGGAAGGCGGCGGCCGGAUGCGGGCCGGGCGGGAAGGCGGCGGCCGGAUGCGGGCCGGGCGGGAAGGCGGCCGCUGACGUGCGCUGUGAGCCCCGAGACCCGGAAGAGGCUCCUGGCCCGACGGCCUGGCCUCGGCACCCACAGGCUGCCACGUUUUGACAGAGACGGCCCCAAAGGCCGGGCUGCGGCCAGGUGGAUUCCUCAUGGUCAAGAAGGAAAAUACAUUUGAUGUUGUGUUCACUCCGGCUACGGCAUCCUGAAAGGAAAAUAAAAGCCCAGGACCCGCAUCGACUCUGCUGAGGAAGGAAUGAAGCUGGAAGCUGAGCCCUGCAAGCAGCCACCUUUCCUUUUGCUCCUAAGCAGAGAGUGACAGAUAGAAGGCAGCACGUCUCCACAGGCUGCUCUAUGUCCACCUGUCCCAUGGGAAGAGCAGAGUUGCGGAGCAGGAGAUGAAUGCAUGGUUGACGGUUCUGCUGCCUGUCCUUUCCUCUUGCCAAAUGUGGAUGAACACACCCUCCCUCUUUCCCCUCUAGCCCCACUUUCCCCUUCAAAUAUCGACACCUUCAGCAUCAUCUUUGGAGAAAGGUACACACCAUGGACUGUUUUUGUGAUUCUGUGUUAUUUUUCUCCUGAGCGUGUGCUGAACACUGGCAAAAAAAACUUCUAAAUUGAUUGAGACCCAUCGGCAAUACUUUUUGGUUUACGACAGGAGUUGGGGUGAGACUCCACCACAUUUGCACCAUGCAGAGCUGGAAGCGGGAGGAAAGACUGAAUCUUGCCUGGAGGCUUUGGCCCUGAAGGUUCAAUUCUGGAUGAUCCUUUACAGGUCUUGAAGAAAGAGUGUCUGGCUGCUCUGUGGAGACGGGACCAUAAGGGGUGAUGCCCAAGAGGAAUGGCUACCACCCAGGUGGAUGUGGCCUGGGUGGGGUGAGAGGUGCAGAUGGAGAGAGAUCCUACUUGUGGGAGGAGGGAAGGUCAACCUCGGGUGGAGAAUCCCCAGGGCCCUGGCAUCUCUGCCCUUUGAUAUGGAGCUAAGGGAACUCUGUAGGAGGCGGCAGUUUGGACCCAGCUGCUGCACAGGGUCCAGCCAACCAGACCAGACCGGAGGUCUCACACCACUGAGGAGGAGCCAGGAUCUUUAUGUGACUGCCAGAGACAUCAGGAGAAAGCCCACAGAAGCCGAAUCUCCAAACAGGCUGGUCCUAGCUGGCAUGAAAGACUGUCUUUCCAUUGCUGCCUUGAAGAAGCGAGUUGCCUCAUCAUGAGAGGUCUCUGGAGGGGCCAGUGGCAAGGACCUGCAGGGGACCUGUAUUUGCCAGCUGAGAGGAGCCCCCAGCUGACAUCCACAACAGAGCAGACCCUCAGUCCUCCAACUACAAGGAUAUGAAUUCAGCCAACAACAGGAAGGAGCUUGGAAGCAGACCUUUCCCUUCCCCGGUUCAGCAUCUGAUGAGCCCACAGCCUUGGCCAACCCUGAGCACAGGACACAGCUAAGAUGAACUCGACUUUUGACCUACAGAAAUUGAAAUAAUAGAAGUGUUAUGUUGAGUUUCAAAGUUUUUGGUAAUGUGUUAUGCAGCAAUAAAAAUCUAGUAUGUCCAAAAAAA